rnacentral:rRNA from 1 species
CCUACGGGAGGCAGCAGUGGGGAAUAUUGCACAAUGGGGGAAACCCUGAUGCAGCGACGCCGCGUGAGUGAAGAAGUAUUUCGGUACGUAAAGCUCUAUCAGCAGGGAAGAAAAUGACGGUAUCUGACUAAGAAACCCCGGCAAACUAGGUGCCAGCAGCCGCGGUAAUAGGUAGGGGUCAAGCGUUAUCCGGAUUUACUGGGGGUAAAGGGAGCGUAGACGGCAGCGCAAGUCUGGAGUGAAAUCCCAUGGCUUAACCAUGGAACUGCUUUGGAAACUGUGCAGCUAGAGUGCAGGAGGGGUAAGCGGAAUUCGUGGUGUAGCGGUGAAAUGGGUGGAUAUUAGGAGGAAAACCAGGGGCGAAGGCGGCUUACUGGACUGUAACUGACGUUGAGGCUCGAAAGCGUGGGGAGCAAACAGGAUUAGAUACCUGGUAGUC